GGCGAUGUAGCUCAGUGGUAGAGCACUUGAAUAACGUGCACCAAGCCCUGAGUUCAACACCCAGCAUUGCCA
rnacentral:tRNA from 1 species